UAGGACCUCACAGGAUGGCCACAAUGAAUUU
rnacentral:piRNA from 1 species